ACGCUGGCGGCAGGCUUAACACAUGCAAGUCGAACGGUAACAGGGAUUAGCUUGCUAAUCUGCUGACGAGUGGCGGACGGGUGAGUAAUGCUUGGGAAUCCGGCUUAUGGAGGGGGAUAACUACGGGAAACUGUAGCUAAUACCGCGUAAAAUCUUCGGAUUAAAGGGUGGGACUUUCGAGCCACCUGCCAUAAGAUGAGCCCAAGUGGGAUUAGGUAGUUGGUUAGGUAAAGGCUGACCAAGCCGACGAUCUCUAGCUGGUCUGAGAGGAUGACCAGCCACACUGGAACUGAGACACGGUCCAGACUCCUACGGGAGGCAGCAGUGGGGAAUAUUGCACAAUGGGGGGAACCCUGAUGCAGCCAUGCCGCGUGAAUGAAGAAGGCCUUCGGGUUGUAAAGUUCUUUCGGUGACGAGGAAGGUUGAUAGGUUAAUAGCCUAUCAAAUUGACGUUAAUCACAGAAGAAGCACCGGCUAACUCCGUGCCAGCAGCCGCGGUAAUACGGGGGGUGCGAGCGUUAAUCGGAAUAACUGGGCGUAAAGGGCACGCAGGCGGUGACUUAAGUGAGAUGUGAAAGCCCCGAGCUUAACUUGGGAAUUGCAUUUCAUACUGGGUCGCUAGAGUACUUUAGGGAGGGGUAGAAUUCCACGUGUAGCGGUGAAAUGCGUAGAGAUGUGGAGGAAUACCGAAGGCGAAGGCAGCCCCUUGGGAAUGUACUGACGCUCAUGUGCGAAAGCGUGGGGAGCAAACAGGAUUAGAUACCCUGGUAGUCCACGCUGUAAACGAUGUCGAUUUGGGGAUUGGGCUUUGAGCUUGGUGCCCGUAGCUAACGUGAUAAAUCGACCGCCUGGGGAGUACGGCCGCAAGGUUAAAACUCAAAUGAAUUGACGGGGGCCCGCACAAGCGG
rnacentral:rRNA from 1 species